rnacentral:rRNA from 1 species
GAUGAACGCUGGCGGCGUGCCUAAUACAUGCAAGUCGAGCGAACAGACGAGGAGCUUGCUCCUCUGACGUUAGCGGCGGACGGGUGAGUAACACGUGGAUAACCUACCUAUAAGACUGGGAUAACUUCGGGAAACCGGAGCUAAUACCGGAUAAUAUAUUGAACCGCAUGGUUCAAUAGUGAAAGACGGUUUUGCUGUCACUUAUAGAUGGAUCCGCGCCGCAUUAGCUAGUUGGUAAGGUAACGGCUUACCAAGGCGACGAUGCGUAGCCGACCUGAGAGGUUGCUCGGCCCACCGGAACCGAGGACCCGGCCCAGCCCCGUCAGGGAGCCACGAGUGGGAAUCCUUCCGGAGGGGGCAGAGGCCGGACGGAGCAACUCGGCGGGAGUGAUGAGGGUCUUCGGUGCGUAAACCUCUUUUAUUAGGGAAAAAAAAAGUUUUAGGUAACUAGCCCCUUCUUGCCGUUCCCAAAUAAGAAAGCCCCGCCUACUUACUU